rnacentral:rRNA from 1 species
GACGAACGCUGGCGGCGUGCUUAACACAUGCAAGUCGAACGGCAAGGCCCUUCUUUUGUGGUGUUCUCGAGUGGCGAUCGGGUGCGUAACACGUGAGUAACCUGCCCUUGACUUUCGUAUAACUUCACGUAACUGGGGCUACUACCGUAUAGGAUCUCCCGCUCCAUGGUGGGGGUUGGAACGUUUCGGCUGUUGGGGAUGGAUGCGCGGCUUAUCAGCUUGCUGGUGGGGUAGUGGCUUACCAAGGCUUUGAAGGGUAGCCGGCAUGAGAGGGUGACCGGGCACAUUGGGACUGAGAGAGGGCCCAGACGGCAACGGGAGGCAGCAGGGGGGAAUAUGGAACAAUGGGCGGAAGCCGGAGGCAGAAACGCUGCGGGCGGGAAGACGGUCUGUGGGGUGAAAAAAGCUGUAGGUUGUGACGAAGCGGGAGUGACGGUAAUGGGUAAAGAAGCACCGGCUAACUACGUG